UUGCAUCUCUCUAGCUUUGUCUAAGGCAUUAUUUUCUUGGUCAAGACCUGCACUGGUAAUCAGUGGAAUUAACAAGGGAUCGAGCUGUGGCCAUCACAUCUUCUGCUCAGGUGCAGUUGCUGGAGCUAGAGAAGCUUUAAUUUGUGGUGUACCUUCUAUAUCGAUUUCAUUGAAUUGGAAGAAUGAUGAAAG